GAUGAACGCUGGCGGCGUGCUUAACACAUGCAAGUCGAACGGAAAGGCCUCUUUCUGGGGGUACUCGAGUUGCGAACGGGUGAGUAACACGUGAGUAACCUGCCCUUGACUUUGGGAUAACUUCAGGAAACUGGGGCUAAUACCUAAUAGGUGCUCCUGCUGCAUGGUUGGGGCUGGAAAGUUUCGGGGGUUUGGGGUGGACUCGCGGCGUAUCCGCUUGGUGUUGGAGUAGUGGCUUACCAAGGCUUUGACGGGGAGCCGGCCUGAGAGAGUGACCGGCGGCCUUGAGACUGACGGACGGCACAAGCUCCGACGGGACGCAGAAGUGGGGAAGCUUGAACGAGGAGUGGCGGCCUGAUGCAGAAGCGCCGUGGGCGGGAUGACGGCCUUCGGGUUGUAAACCGCAUUCGUAAAUGACGAAGCUUGGUGUGACGGUAGUUGGUAAGAAAGCACCGGCUAACUACGUG
rnacentral:rRNA from 1 species